CUGCUGGGGAGCCGGUGGCGUACGCGGUGAGGGAGCGGGGGCCGGGAGGUGCCUUCUGGCUCCGGCUGGGGCCGGCGAGAGCGCGAACGAGCGACGGCGGAAACCGCGGGCUUGUGGACGGCGGCAUCAGCGGCUAGUAGUGAGGGCCAAAAAAUGAGCCAAUGGACAAAGAAUUAUCCAGAUCCAGUUUCCAUUAUCCAGAAGUGUGGUGCUGAUGCGCUCAGGAAGAAGAAAUAGAAUUUCUCUACAGUGAGAACACGGUUAGAAAAAGCCCUAACAUUACAGACCAGUGGGAUCUUGUCCUUCAUGCAGUCUCUCAUUGGCUUCUUUCAGACUGAAAUGGCAGCUCAUAGGCUUUACACUGUGGUGCCUCGCCUUGUGGAGUUUGUACAUAUUCUCGCCAAUUGGUACAUUAGAAUGAACCGCAGAAGAUAAAAGGGUGAAAAUGGGAUGGAAGAUUGUGUCAUGGCCCUAGAAACCUUGUUUAGUGUUCUGCUUUCUCUUUGUAGACUUAUGGCUCCCUACGUGCCUUUUCUCACUGAAUUAUGUGCCAGAAUCUAAAGGUGCUGAUUGCCCCUGUUUCUUUUCAAGACAAAGACACUCUCAGCAUCCACUACCUCAUGCUUCCCCGUGUUCGAGAAGAAUUGGUUGAUAAGAAAACAGUGCAAUAUCUCGGAUGCAGUCUGUGAUUGAAGUUGAAUGAGUGAUCAGAGACCGGAACACUAUUCCCAUAAAGUAUCCUUUGAAAGAAAUUGUGGUUAUCCAUCAAGAUCCAGAAGCUCUUAGAGAUAUCACGUCUUUGGAGAAGUGUGUCAUUGAGUAUAGGAAUUGAAUGUUCAAAAAGUUACACUGUCUACAGAUAAAAAUAAGGACGGCAUUCGGCUAAGGGCAGAACCAGAUCACAUGGUCCUGGCGAAGCAUCUGAAGAGAGCCUUUAAGGCAGUGAUGAUGACGUCCAUCAAGCAGCUGAGCAGUGAGGAGCUGGAGCAGUUCCAAAAGACUGAUGGAGUCUCGCUCUGUCACCCAGAAUGGAGUGCAAUGGUGCAUCUCGGCUUACUGGAACGUCCCCCUCCCGGGGUCAAGCAAUGCUCCUGCCUCAGCCUCCCAGGUAACUGGGAUUACAGGCACUCACCGCCACACCUGGCUAAUUUUUGUAUUUUUUAGUAGAGACAGGGUUUCGCCACAUUAGCCACUCUGGUCUCAAACUCCCAACCUCAGGUGAUCCGCCCACCUCAGCUUUUCAAAGUGCUGGGAUUACAGGUGUGAGCCACCACACCCAGCCCCCACAUCUUCUCAUUUUGUCUGCUGACAUGUUCACAGCACUCAGACUAUCAAACUGUCCAGUACCAGGGUUCAGGAGAAGCUGCCUUUAUGGCCCACACAGCUUGGGAUUAAUAUGACAUAGGAGAUGAGGACCACACACUCCAUAAACUCCAAUGCUAGUCUACUACCCUAUCUGGUUUCCCAGGCAGCUAACUUGGCAUGGGAUAGAGUUUUAAAGUGUUUAUCUCAUAUUUUAUCCUGAACCUUCAUAUAGCUACUAUUCAGAUUACUUUCUGAAACCCUCUUAAAGGCUCAUCAAGUGAUAUUUAAUUCACCAUCAAUUUCCUCUUAUUAUUUAUUUCAACAUUAGACUAGAGAACAGAUUGCAUUUUUACCUUGAAUUUAAAGACAUAGAGAAUCGGAGCAAAAGUCUCUGUGUGUGCAAUGGAUGCAUCAUGGCCAAGACCCGUCACAAUUGUCGGUUCUACAUAAUUUCCAGGGCGAUCCAUAACCUAAAACAGAGAAUUGAAAUAAAAAGAAUGGAAGCAUUUCGUUUUCUAGUACUUGGGGUCAGAGGACACAAUCUUUGCCUACACUCACAAAGAAAAAAUUAGCAUCAUUUAUAGGUGAAUUAUUUCUCCAAAAUAAUUUCCUGUCAUGAAUGAAGAUUCUUUCUUCUUGGUAUUGAUUCUAACUUAGUUGGUUAGAGAAAAAUGUAAAUAAGGAGUCAGGCAGGGAUGGAGAGCCAUGCCAUGUGACACAACCACGUUAUCUUGAACAAACAUUGUUGCAAGUGGUUAUUUUAAUAUUUACAUAAUUUAAAUAUCUAUUGUGUGUUAUAGAUUGAAUUGUAUUCCCCCCAAAAUUGACAUCUGGAAUCCCUAAUAUUCAGUGUGACUAUAUUUGGAGAUAGGCCCUUGAAGGAGGAAGGUUAAACAAGGUCAUAUGGGUGGGGUCCUAAUCCAACAGGACUAGUGUCCUUUUGGUUUUGUUUGCUUUUUUUUUGAGAUAAAGUCUUGCUCUUGGUUCACUACAACCUCCAUCUCCCGGGUUCAAGCCAUCCUCCCACCUAAGCCUCCCAAGUAGCUGGGACUACAGGCAUGCACCACCACGUCCAUCUAAUUUUUUUCUUUUUUUUGUAUUUUUGGUAGAGUCCAGGUUUCACCAUUUUGGCAAGGCUGGUCUUGAACUCCUAACCUCAAAUGAUCUACCUGUCUCAGCUUUCCAGAGUGCUGUGAUUACAGGUGUGAGCCACCAUGCCUGGCCACAAACAAAUCUUUAUAUGUGUGGGGUUGUUUUUGAUUUGGUUUUUUGAUUUUUGAGACAGGGUCUUGCUUUAUUGCCCACGUUGCGGUACAAUGAUGUCAUCAUGACUCAUUGCAGCCUCAAGUGAUCCUCCCACCUCAGCCUCACAAGUAGUUAGCACUACACGUGCAAGCAACCCCACUCGGCUUUUUUUUUUUUGGGUAGAGACAGGGUCUAUGAUGUCCAGGAGGGUCUUAAACUCCUGGCCUCAAGCAAUUCUCCCACCACAGCCUCCAAACUGCUGAGAUUACAGGUGCAAGCUACUGCACCCAGCAAUAUGUGUUAAUUUGUUUUAAUACUUACAGUAUGUAUUUUUUUAUUCCUUGCCUUAAUGACUUUUUAAGAUUACCAAUAAAUAGAUUCUAAUUGCUCUGAAUACAAAGUCUCCGACUGUGCUAUGAAAAGGAAUUCUCCUUUCCAUACAAAUAUUUAGGGACCCAAUUCAAAAGCAACCAUGACUCAGUUUCUUCUAUGUCCUUCCAGAAAUGUCCCAUGCAUUUUUUUCUGUUGCUUUUAAAAUAUGGAAUGCUUCAUGAAUUUGCAUAUCAUCCUUGUGCAUAGGCCAUCUGCUAAUCUUCUCUGUAACAUUCCAAUUUUAGUAUAUGUGCUGUCAAAGCAAGCACUGUUGUCAUUCUUUAAAACAUGUAUUUCUGGCCAGGUGUGGUGGCUCACACCUGUAAUCCCAGCACUUUGGGAGGCUAAGGCAGGCAGAUCAUGAGGUGAGGAGUUCCAGACCAGCCUGGCCAACAUGGUGAAACACCUUCUCUACUAAAAGUACAAAAAUUAGCUGGGUGCGGUGGCAGGAGCCUGUAAUCCCAACUACUUGGGAGGCUGAGACAGGAGAAUCAUGUCUCACGGGACUCCAGUCUGGGCAAGAUAGUGAGACUCAGUCACAAAAAAACAAACAAGCAAACAAAACCAUGUAUUUCUGGCCAGUCAUGGUGGCUCAUGCCUGUAAUCCCAAUACUUUGGGAGGCUGAGGUGGGUGAAUCACCCGAGUUCAGGAGUUCAAGACCAGCCUGGGCAACAUGGCAAAACCCCAUUUCUACCAAAAAUAGAAACAGUGGUCAGGGGUGGUGAUGUCACCUGUAGUCCCAGCUACUAAGGAGGCUGAAGUGGGAGGAUUGCUUUAGUGCAGGAGGCAGAGGUUGCAGUGAUCCAAGAUCAAGCACCACUGCACUCCAGCAUGGGCAGCAGAAGAAGAACCUGUCACAAAAACAAACAGGGUCAUGUGUGGUGGCUCAUGCCUGUAAUACCAACACAUGGGGAGGGCAAGGUGGGUAGAUCACUUGAGGCCAGGAGUUGGAGACCAGCCUGGCUAACAUGGGAAACGCCAUCUCUACCAAAAAAUGCAAAAAUUAGCUGGGUAUGGGGACAUGCGCCUGUAAUCCAGCCACUUGGGAGGCUGAAGCAGGAGAAUCACUUGAACCCGAGAAGCAGAAGUUGCAGUGAACUGAGAUCAUGCCACAGAACUCCAGCUUGGGUGACACAGUGAUACUCUGCCUCAAAAGCAAAAAACAAACAAAAACAUGUAUUUCCACUUAAAAUAAAAACAGGAAAAGAAGGAUGUCAAAUGGGGUCACUUUCCCAAUAUGCCCAGAGCCCUGCUUGUGUCUAAGGAAAAAGGUUAAAAAGCUGUUAGACUGAUCUCAGAGCAUCCCUUACCUUGCCCCCAUAGACCACUGUGCCACCUUCUUUCUUUGCUUCUUCCACUGCUCCAAGAAACAUGCCCACUGCCUGUUUAGUGUGGAGUGGCCCAUAGAGAACAUUAGCUGGGGAGAGAAAAGGAAGGCUGGCUCAUCAUUUUGCUCUUUAUGGCAUCAUUUUAUUAUUAGAUCAGAUUUCUCAAUGAAUGACCAAUCCUUUCCUAUAUGCUCUCAGUUGAGAACAUAAGUCAGCAUUCUUUUUCCAUAAAGAACCAGAUGGUAAAUAUUUUAUGCUUUGGAGGAUGUACGUGGUCUCCAUCACAAUACUCAACUGUGUCAUUGUAGUGCAAAAGCAGCCACAAAUUACAUGCAAAUAAGUAGGUAUGGCUAUGUGCCAUGAAACCUGCUUUACAGAAACAGGCAGGACCAAGUCUGUUUGCCAAUCUCUACUUUAAAGGAAUGGAUAUCAAUUAAUCAAAGCACUGUACUCAAAAAUAUAGGAUCAGUUUACUCAUUACAGUGUGACCAUUCUCUAAGGAACCAUCACAGUCAGCAAUUGGUGCAUAAUUCAAGGGGGAAGAGAAUGAUGCUGUCCUAUGUUAUGGCUGCUGGAGACUAGAGCACUGACAGUGACCCAGUGACAGAGGAAGAAGGAAGCUGUAGGUAGGCCUCUAUGAGGAGGAGGCAUGUUAGAAAAGCCAUUUCCACCCUGGGUGAAGAAUGUUUCCAGGAGACAGCACAGCACAGCAGGACAGAGCCUGGCACGGCUGAAACACUGAAAGGAGGUUGGAGAGGAUGGAACUCUGAAAGCAAGUGGGAAAAUGGUCACAGGAUGGCUGGUGAGAAGGCAAGCAGGGCAGGAGGCAGACAGCAGACCAUCAAGGAUCGGGAGCCUGAGAAAAAGAAGCAAUACUCUAGGUUUUAAUCUAAAAGCAGGCCUGGCUCAAUGGCUCACACCUGUAAUCCUAGCACUUUGGGAGGCCAAGGGAGGCAGAUCAUUUCAGGUCAGGAGUUUGAGACCAGCCUGCCCAACAAAAUGAAACGCUGUCUCCACUAAAAAUAGAAAAAUCAGUCGGGCAUGGUGACACACACCUGUGAUCACAGCUACUUAGGAGGCUAAGGCAGGAGAAUUGCUUGAACCCAAGAGACAGAGGUUGCAGUGAGCUGAGAUCACACCACUGCAUUCCAGCUUGAGCAGCAGAGUAAAACCACAUCCCAAAAUAACGAAAACAAAUCUAAAAGCAAUGAGAAGUAUUUUAUGCAGGAGAGUGAAUUAUCUAAAAAUCACUCUGUAGCAAUACAUGCAGAAGGGUCAGUUAGGGGACUCUUAAAGCCAUCCACAAGAGGGAUAGGGUUGGCUUGGACUAGGGUAAUAGUAAUGAGAGAGAAGCUCACUAAAUCUCAUCCCAUCUAAAUAACCUCUCCUAGUCUCACUCACCAGCCCACAUGAAGCACCCAGAGUCAAAACCUAGGAGGAGACACGAUACCCCAAAGCCUAAUAAUCUGUUCCAUGUGCCUUCAGGCCUCUCUGGGAAGGGAAAGAAACUCCAAAACUCAGAUCAGAAACAUUUGUAAACAACAGCUAUCAAAAACGGAUCUUUGGAAAACAGAAGGAGAUACUCACAGUCCCAUGGGUUCCCAACUCGGAUCUGUGAAUAGGCCUUUUUCAGUCUGUUUACGACCUCAUCGUGGAUGCUUUCAUGCACAAACUAAGCAAAAAAAGAGGUAUUUGAGGGCACAGUACGAUGAAUGUACACAAUUUUAAACAAUGAAUAAUAUUAUUGAAAGUUAUUGAAAUAUGGUAAUCUCUAAAAACAAGCAAAUCAAAGCACAUUUUAUUUAUAAUCAUAUUAUUUCUCAUUUUAAUAUUAACUAUAUAAAGUUUAAAAUUUCCUUUUAGGUAGAUGUUAGAAUAAAAUCAUAAGCCAUGUUUUGUUUUUGUGGUUUUUUUUGAGACAGAGUCUCACUCUGUCACCCAAGCUAAAGAAGUGCAGUGGUGCAAUCUCACUUCAUUGCAACCUCCACCUCCCAGGUUCAAGUGAUUCUCAUACCUCAGCCUUCCAAGUGGCUGGGAUUACAGGCACCCACUACCAUGCCUGGCUAAUUUUUUGUAUUUUUAGUAGAGAUGGGCUUUCGCCAUGUUGGCCAGGUUGGUCUGGAACUCCUGACCUCAGUGAUCCAUCCACCUCGGCCUCCCAAAGUGCUGGGAUUAUAGGCAUAAGCCACUGCACCCUGUCCAUAAGCCAUGUCUUUAUCAAGUUUCCAAGGAUGUAUUUGGCUAAACUUCACAAAUACAUUAAAGAAGGCCUCAAGUACAUCUGUCCCAUACUGUAACUCUAAGUCUCAGUGAAUGCAGAGCACAGUGGUAACUAACUGUGCUUGGCAACUACAAACACUUAGCUCCAGGCCACAAAGGUCUCUAGAAGAGGCCUUAAUUAGGUGAGGAUAACCCUUGCACUCUCUGGGUAGUUGUGAGGUCCAUGCUAUGCUCCUAGUGGCAGAGCUGAACUUGCCAAACCAUCUAUUCUCUGAGAUAGUCUCCAUGUGAUGAAUGAAUUGACAUUUCGAGAACUAGUCAUGAAGCAGCCCACAGUAUUGGAAUUUUUAUAUAUAUGUAUACACACAAACAUAUACGCUGCUAACUCUAAGGAAAUCUAUUUGAACAAUGGCUAAUAUUAUCUAUUAAUAUUUAACACUAAUAUAAAGGACAUCUGUUAAUAUUUGCUCCAAAACACACACAAAAAAUAAAACUUGGCUGAAUAGUGAAAUAUUUGGCUUUCAUGUCAAUUCAUAUUUUACCAUGUAAUGAAGGGUAUAACCAUUUGGAGUACAUCGUUUUCUCUUAGCUUUAAUAUAAUCUUUAAUGGCAAUUUAAUGUGUAUGAUGAACAAAUUUAAUAAACUGUAACGUUACAAAUAUAGUAUCCAAUUUUUUAAGACUGUCAGCUACGUAAAAAUAAAGAUUUAUUUUCAUUUGUGCAAAACACCUGAAAAAAGUAUAAAAAUUGUGAGAGGCAAAAAAAAAAAAAAAAAAGAAGAAAAUUGUGAGAGGCUGGGCACAGUGGCUGACACCUAUAAUCCCAGCACUUUGGGAGGCCAAGGCAGGCAGAUUACCUGGGGUCAGGAGUUUCAGACCAGCCUGGUAAACAUGGCAAAAUUUUGUCUCUUCUAAAAAUACAAAAAUUAGCCAGGCAUGGUGGUGGGCACCUGGAGUCCCAGCUACGUGGGAGGCUGAGGCAGGAGAAUUGCUUGAACUUGGGAGGUGAAGGUUGUGGUGAGCUGAGAUCAUGCCACUGCACUGUACCCUUGCCAACAGAGAAAGAUUCCAUCUCGAGAGAAAAAAAAAGAGAAAAGUGUGAGAAAGGUAAAUUUCUUUUUUUUUUUUUGAGACGGAGUUUUGCUCUUGUUUACCCGGGCUGGAGUGCAAUGGCGCAAUCUCAGCUCACCGAAACCUUUGCCUCCUGGGUUCAGGCAAUUCUCCUGCCUCAGCCUCCUGAGUAGCUGGGAUUACAGGCACGCGCCAAGAUGCCCAGCUAAUUUUUUGUAUUUUUAGUGGAGAUAGGGUUUCACCUUGUUGACCAGGAUGGUCUCAAUCCCUUGACCUCAUGAGCCACCAUGCCCGGCGGUAAAGAUAAAUUUCGUAUAUCUUUUAGCUUAUUUGAAUCAAUUUAGAUGUCAGUCUUAUAAAGAAUUUGUUCACACUCAUUGUGAAUCAGAGCAAAAGCCCAAAGCCAAUUCCUUAAUAAUUCAACUGAAGUCCUUUUUUAUUACUAAAGGAAAACUCAACAAUAAAAAUUGGCUUAAGUUCAAAAGAGCUAAAAAUAAUUUUUUUAAAUUGUAAAUGCAGCCAAAUUUUGUACCUAACUAAAACUUGGUCAGGGCGGGGCAUGGCAGCUCCUGCCUAUAAUCCCAGCACUCUGGGAGGCCAAGGUGGGUGGAUCAUUCACCUUGAACUCCUGAGGUUAGGAGUUCAAGACCAGCCUGGCCAACAUGGUGAAACCUCAUCUCUACUAAAAAUACAAAAAUUAGCCAGGAAUGGUGGUACACACCUAUAAUCCCAGCUACUCAGGAGGCUGAGGCAGGAGAAUUACUUGAACCCAGGAGGUGGAGGUUACAGUGAGCAAUAUCGCACCACUACACUCCAGCCUGGUGAUAGAGAAAAACUCUGUCUCAAAAAACAAAAAAAAAACUUGCUGAGUUAUUGUAUAGUCUUUUCGUACCAUAAAGUCAUGAAAAUCAAAGUUGUAACACAUACUAAACUGAAAUCCAGCUCAAUCUUAAGUAUAGAGAUUAAACUUCCCAAAUCCCACACUGAAGCUAAACCGUAUCUCCCCUUAUAUACACUUAAUGUUAAUCUGUCGUCUCUAUAUAUAUGUAUGCAGACUACAUAUGUAUAUAGAGAAGUCUCGGGUAUACAGAAUCAUAUGCUUUUCAAUGAAUCAUGUCAUUUCAAGUCAAAGCUAAGACUAGACUUCAGGCUAAAAAUUAAAAUGUUUAUUGAUUGAUUGGUUGAGACAGGAUGUUGGCCUGUUUCCAGGGCUGGAGAACAGUGGUGCAGUCACGGCUCAUUGCAGCCUCCUUGUCCUGGGCUCUACCAGUCCCCCUGCCUCAGCCUCCCAAGUAUAUGUGGCUGGGACUACAAGCAUAAGCCAUCAUGCCUGGCUAAUGUUUUUUAACUUUUUGUAGAGACAGGGUAUCGCUAUGUUGCCCAAGCUGGUCUCGAACUACUGGGCUCAAGCAAUCAUCCUGCCUUGGCCUCCCAAAAUGCUGGAAUUACGUGUUUGAGCCACCGUGCCCAGCCUAAAAUGCUUUACUACUUAAAAUGUUUUUACAAAAGAGCAAGACUCUAUUUUUAGCUAAUAGUUUAAUAAUUUUUAACAUUUUUACCUUGUUUUAUUCUCUAAGUUACAUUGGACUUUUUCCACAUUGUUCUGGGAAUAGGACUGAAAAUAGUUCUCAUCUCCUAGUCCAACUCCAAUCAACUGGUGGUGGAACCCCUAUUAGCUUGGGGUAGAAAAAAGCCAAAGUCCCUGAUUGACUAACAACAUCUGCCAACUGGGCCACAUAUUUGUCAGCCGCAUCUAGAGAGCACGUUGUUAUAGCAGUAUUGCUGACACCUCCCUAACAGCAGACCUCAUUAACAAGUAGUGUUUAAGAGCAAGACAAGCUCACGGGCCUAUGCAGACAUACUCACCAGUCGCCUCGCAGUGGUACACCUCUGGCCAGCUGUUCCCACAGCAGCGAAGAGAGCUGAUGGAACAACUAAAUUGAGGUCUGCAUCUUCGAAGGCU